rnacentral:rRNA from 1 species
AUGGAGGGUAGAGAAGUGAUUUUAAACUCUGGGAAUAUAGCCAGAAUCUGGAAUGACCCCAUUAGGGGUGAUGCUCCCUUGCGUACUAAGUUUCCGGCUUUAUUCAGCAUAUGUAAUUAUCAGGAGAUUACUGUUGCUGAAUUUAAAAACUUUGAGGAUAGUGAUCUUUUUAGAAGGAACCUUCAUCCUCCCCUUACAGAUCAGUGGAACGAUCUUGUUAAGGUGGUUAACUCUUGGCAUUUAUCCGAUGAGACGGAUCAUAUUAGCUGGAGGUUGGGGGAAAAGGGUAAAUUCUCGACCAAAUCGGUCUAUACCUAUUUGGAGAGAACCCUAGCGGGGUGUAACUUCAGAUGGAUAUGGAAAGCAAAAAUCCCUCUUAAGAUUCAGAUCUUUCUUUGGCAAUUGUUCCAAGAUGCGGUUUUGACUCGAGAUGUCAUGAAAAGACGUAGAUGGGCAGGAAAUCCUAAGUGCUCGUUCUGCAAUGAGGUGGAAACCUCGCACCACCUCUUCUUUACUUGUCCUGUUGCUCGGGUGGUUUGGAGAACGGUUGGGGGUGUGUUAGGCACAUUGUUGUGUCCAAACAACCUUUGGCAGUACUUCUCCUGGUGUUACAUCUUCCUUCCUGAUGGGGCUAAAUUUUAUACUUUUGGACUGACAGCUAUAUGCUGGGCAAUUUGGAUCAGUCGCAAUUAG